rnacentral:misc_RNA from 1 species
UAAGCUUUUAGUGAUUUCCUUCUGGGAUUUGAGAAUUUUCAGAAUAUGAGAAACUAAAAGCUGGUAUCUAAUGAUAAUAAUAUGGAAUGUUAGACAAUGUCAAGAAGAGGAAGAUGCCCGGAGGAGAAUUCCAUGGAGCGUAAUUCCAAAUGCCAAUUUAGGACUCAGACUGUUUUAUUAAUCGUUACCAAAUACCAGUCAGCUUCAAUUGCAUAUCUCCAACAAUUAUAAAACUUACAGAAAGGAAAUUUUGACAGAUAGAGAACAGUAACUUGAAUAACUUGUGAACAAAAAAAUUCCACUGCUUCUGCUUAUGUGACUGCGUGUGGUUUUAAGAUGCUCUGGAGAGGAGGAGACAAGAAGAAGAAGGGUUGAAUAGAUGGUGAAAGAAAGCAGUUUCUGCAGAGGUUGCAGUCUUUUGCAGAGGAACAGCUCAAGACUUUCUGCAAAUGCCUUUUCUUUUCUUAUGCUACAUUGACG